CCUGAAAAAAUUUUCCGUAAAUAUUAGGGCGGGGAGGAAAGGAAAAAUAAUUGCAAUCAUAUAAAAUGCAAUCUGAACAAUCUGUAAUCCACCAGAAAGAAGGCAUUUUUUUGUAUUUUCUGAAAACUUGGGGGGGGGGGGGCUUGGUCACCCCCGGUUCCUACGCCCCUGACGCUGUCUCUACUCUCUAUACAUAUACUCAGGACUAAGACACAGCCCAUGCAUGUACUGAGCACAUCUCACUGCAUAUGUAGCUACGAGAUCCAGGCAUUCGAGAUAAAUUCCCCCAUGUAAAAAGUAUACUGACCGUGUGUUUGCCAAAUUGUCGAGUUGAAAGCACAACGAGAUUUGUCAGUGCCACCGCGCAAUUAGCUAUUGUUUGAAACUUUUAAAAUAACCAAAUUGACCCAGCAAGCAGGAUAUAUAAAUUUUUCAUUUAAUUCAAAACUUGCUUGCCGGGUGUCUUGUUCAACUGGCCAGUUUAGCUUCAAAUCGGCAUGUGUCAAAACUAUUUUCGUAACUUAUUUUAUCAAACAUGCUUUACCUCACACAAAAAGGUUGAUAGCAACAGUUGUUUUCGACAUUUUAACAGGCGCGAUUACUAAUUCAAUAUCGGAAAUUAACGUCAACAAUGAACAAAGCCCACUAAAGCGACGAGUCAUCGCGUAUGCAUGAUUAUAAAAUUAUUAAAAUUCGUUAGUCGUAAGCGAAUUUGGCGAGCUUGUUCACUUGUUGAUGUUUCUAAUAUAGAAUUUGCGACCGCGUCUAUAAAUGUCAAAAACAACUAUUGCUUCCAACCUUUUUGCGUGAGGGAGUCACGUCACGCGUAAAACUGCUGUGAC